UGCAGUCGAGCGGUAACAGAGAGUAGCUUGCUACUUUGCUGACGAGCGGCGGACGGGUGAGUAAUGCUUGGGAACUUGCCUUUGGGUGGGGGAUAACCACGGGAAACUGUGGCUAAUACCGCAUAAUGUCUACGGACCAAAGUGUGGGAUCUUCGGACCACACGCCCAGAGAUAGGCCCAAGUGAGAUUAGCUAGUUGGUGAGGUAAUGGCUCACCAAGGCAACGAUCUCUAGCUGUUCUGAGAGGAUGAUCAGCCACACUGGGACUGAGACACGGCCCAGACUCCUACGGGAGGCAGCAGUGGGGAAUAUUGCACAAUGGGCGCAAGCCUGAUGCAGCCAUGCCGCGUGUGUGAAGAAGGCCUUCGGGUUGUAAAGCACUUUCAGUGGUGAGGAAGGGUGUGUUGUUAAUAGCAACAUACAUUGACGUUAGCCACAGAAGAAGCACCGGCUAACUCCGUGCCAGCAGCCGCGGUAAUACGGAGGGUGCGAGCGUUAAUCGGAAUUACUGGGCGUAAAGCGUACGUAGGCGGCCUGUUAAGCAAGAUGUGAAAUCCCCGGGCUCAACCUGGGAAUGGCAUUUUGAACUGGCAGGCUCGAGUUCUGAAGAGGGUGGUAGAAUUUCCAGUGUAGCGGUGAAAUGCGUAGAUAUUGGAAGGAAUACCGGUGGGCGAAUGCCGGCCACCUGGUCAGAAACUGACGCUGAGUACGAAAGCGGUGGGGAGCAAACAGAUUAGAUACCCUGGUAGUCCACGCCGUAA
rnacentral:rRNA from 1 species